rnacentral:rRNA from 1 species
CGUGUAGGCGGCCACGCAGGUCCGUUGUGAAAACUGGAGGCUCAACUUCCAGACGUCGACGGAAACCGUGUGGCUAGAGUCCGGAAGAGGAGAGUGGAAUUCCUGGUGUAGCGGUGAAAUGCGCAGAUAUCAGGAAGAACACCAAUGGCGAAGGCAGCUCUCUGGGACGGUACUGACGCUGAGACGCGAAAGCGUGGGGAGCGAACA